GGUUUUCUCCCUCCAGGGGAGAAAUCAAAAGGGAAUCAGGUGCAAGUCCUGAACAGUACCCGCUGCUGUGAGUCCUCGCUGCUUCGUCUCACACAAGCCACUGGCUGCCAAGUUGAUUCUUUACCACAAAGUCGACUACAUCAUGGCCGGGAAGGCGUGAGCGCGAAGAGGAUGAGUCAGAAGACCUGCCUUCACA
rnacentral:ncRNA from 1 species